rnacentral:rRNA from 1 species
GACGAACGCUGGCGGCGUGCUUAACACAUACAAGUCGAACGGAAAGGCCCUGCUUUUGUGGGGUGCUCGAGUGGCGAACGGGUGAGUAACACGUGAGUAACCUGCCCUUGACUUUGGGAUAACUUCAGGAAACUGGGGCUAAUACCGGAUAGGAGCUCCUGCUGCACGGUGGGGGUUGGAAAGUUUCGGCGGUUGGGGAUGGACUCGCGGCUUAUCAGCUUGUUGGUGGGGUAGUGGCUUACCAAGGCUUUGACGGGUAGCCGGCCUGAGAGGGUGACCGGCCACAUUGGGACUGAGAUACGGCCCAGACUCCUACGGGAGGCAGCAGUGGGGAAUAUUGCACAAUGGGCGGAAGCCUGAUGCAGCAACGCCGCGUGCGGGAUGACGGCCUUCGGGUUGUAAACCGCUUUCGCCUGUGACGAAGCGUGAGUGACGGUAAUGGGUAAAGAAGCACCGGCUAACUACG